GACGAACCGUGCGAACGUUAUUCGGAAUCACUGGGCUUAAAGGGCGCGUAGGCGGGCCUGUUAGUCAGGGGUGAAAUCCCACGGCCCAACCGUGGAAGUGCCUCUGAUACUGCGGGCCUCGAGGGAGGUAGGGGCGUGCGGAACUCAGGGUGGAGCGGUGAAAUGCGUAGAUAUCCUGAGGAACACCGGUGGCGAAAGCGGCGCGCUGGACCUCUUCUGACGCUGAGGCGCGAAAGCCAGGGGAGCAAACAGG
rnacentral:rRNA from 1 species